UAAUGCCAGAUCUUUUGGCGACAUAUGCCUUGAGAACCUUCAAGCAGGGCUGGCAACGUUCCUCAAGUCUUGCAGCAGUUGUGGUGAGAGAAACAGAGUGAAUGUUUCAGGCUCAGCUGGUAAGGGUAGAAUCCAUCUCUGCUGGAAAGUGGGUGCUUGAAGAUACCUGAUGAGGAUGGAAUCAAGCUUAACAGUGAUAUAACCCCAACUGAAGAAUGAACACUUGAGCAAAGUAUAGGAGAGCUGCCAGCACCCGUGGAACUGAAACACAAUGUAAGAUGCUGCCUGAGAUGCUGCGUUUUUCAACCGCUUUCUGUAUUUAUUCCUGGUCUCCGGCAUCCACAGUAUUUUGCUUUUAUGUAAUAAUAUUGAAAAUAGGAAAAAUAGGCUGUUUGGCU